rnacentral:rRNA from 1 species
AAGGCCCUUUCGGGGGUACUCGAGCGGCGAACGGGUGAGUAACACGUGAGUAAUCUGCCCUUGGCUUCGGGAUAACCACCGGAAACGGUGGCUAAUACCGGAUACGACCAGCCCCGGCAUCGGGUGUUGGUGGAAAGUUUUUUCGGCCAGGGAUGUGCUCGCGGCCUAUCAGCUUGUUGGUGGGGUAAUGGCCUACCAAGGCUUCGACGGGUAGCCGGCCUGAGAGGGUGACCGGCCACACUGGGACUGAGACACGGCCCAGACUCCUACGGGAGGCAGCAGUGGGGAAUAUUGGACAAUGGGCGAAAGCCUGAUCCAGCAACGCCGCGUGAGGGAUGACGGCCUUCGGGUUGUAAACCUCUUUCAGUACCGACGAAGCGCCGAUGAUGGUGGUGACGGUAGGUACAGAAGAAGCACCGGCCAACUACGUGCCAGCAGCCGCGGUAAUACGUAGGGUGCGAGCGUUGUCCGGAAUUAUUGGGCGUAAAGGGCUCGUAGGCGGUUUGUCGCGUCGGGAGUGAAAACACCGGGCUUAACUCGGUGCUUGCUUCCGAUACGGGCAGACUAGAGGCAUGCAGGGGAGAACGGAAUUCCUGGUGUAGCGGUGAAAUGCGCAGAUAUCAGGAGGAACACCGGUGGCGAAGGCGGUUCUCUGGGCAUGUCCUGACGCUGAGGAGCGAAAGUGUGGGGAGCGAACAGGAUUAGAUACCCUGGUAGUCCACACCGUAAACGUUGGGCGCUAGGUGUGGGGCCUAUUCCAU